rnacentral:rRNA from 1 species
UACGAAGGGGGCUAGCGUUGCUCGGAAUCACUGGGCGUAAAGGGUGCGUAGGCGGGUCUUUAAGUCAGGGGUGAAAUCCUGGAGCUCAACUCCAGAACUGCCUUUGAUACUGAGGAUCUUGAGUUCGGGAGAGGUGAGUGGAAUUGCGAGUGUAGAGGUGAAAUUCGUAGAUAUUCGCAAGAACACCAGUGGCGAAGGCGGCUCACUGGCCCGAUACUGACGCUGAGGUGCGAAAGCGUGGGGAGCAAACAGG